GAUGCAUGCCCAGUGCUGGAAGGCCGAGGAAGUUGGCGACCUAACGAGAGGGGAGCCGGCGACCGAAGCCCUAGUAAACGGCGGCCGUAACUAUAACAGUCUAAAGUAACGAAAUCUCUUUUCAAGAGAUGAUUGAGAGUUUACAAAAUCGAAAUGUA
rnacentral:ncRNA from 1 species